UAAAAAGAAGUGGUCUUCUCUAAAUCUUUUUUGGGGAAGGCCCCCCGGCGGUUUUUAUACCUUUUGUGGGGAAAGAAAAAGGCUCCCCCACAGGGCAAUGUAAUUCGUACCGGCCCCCGGAAGGAGGUUAUUCGCCCCCCAUUGGGGAUUGAGACCCCGGCCCCAAUCUCCUUGCGGGAGGCCAGCAGUAGGGAAUUCUUCCAACAAGGGACCGCAAGUCUGAAGGAAGCAACCCCCGCGUGAAGGAAGAAAGGUUUUCGGCUCGUAAAGCUUUGUUGUUAAAAAAGAACGUGGGUAAGAGUAACUGUUUACCCAGUGACGGUAUUUAACCAGAAAGCCACGGCUAACUACGUGCCAGCAGCCGCGGUAAUACGUAGGUGGCAAGCGUUAUCCGGAUUUAUUGGGCGUAAAGCGAGCGCAGGCGGUCUUUUAAGUCUAAUGUGAAAGCCUUCGGCUCAACCGAAGAAGUGCAUUGGAAACUGGGAGACUUGAGUGCAGAAGAGGACAGUGGAACUCCAUGUGUAGCGGUGAAAUGCGUAGAUAUAUGGAAGAACACCAGUGGCGAAGGCGGCUGUCUGGUCUGCAACUGACGCUGAGGCUCGAAAGCAUGGGUAGCGAACAGGAUUAGAUACCCUGGUAGUCCAUGCCGUAAACGAUGAUUACUAAGUGUUGGAGGGUUUCCGCCCUUCAGUGCUGCAGCUAACGCAUUAAGUAAUCCGCCUGGGGAGUACGACCGCAAGGUUGAAACUCAAAAGAAUUGACGGGGGCCCGCACAAGCGGUGGAGCAUGUGGUUUAAUUCGAAGCUACGCGAAGAACCUUACCAGGUCUUGACAUCUUCUGACAGUCUAAGAGAUUAGAGGUUCCCUUCGGGGACAGAAUGACAGGUGGUGCAUGGUUGUCGUCAGCUCGUGUCGUGAGAUGUUGGGUUAAGUCCCGCAACGAGCGCAACCCUUAUUACUAGUUGCCAGCAUUAAGUUGGGCACUCUAGUGAGACUGCCGGUGACAAACCGGAGGAAGGUGGGGACGACGUCAAAUCAUCAUGCCCCUUAUGACCUGGGCUACACACGUGCUACAAUGGAUGGUACAACGAGUCGCGAGACCGCGAGGUUAAGCUAAUCUCUUAAAACCAUUCUCAGUUCGGACUGUAGGCUGCAACUCGCCUACACGAAGUCGGAAUCGCUAGUAAUCGCGGAUCAGCAUGCCGCGGUGAAUACGUUCCCGGGCCUUGUACACACCGCCCGUCACACCAUGAGAGUUUGUAACACCCAAAGCCGGUGGGGUAACCUUUUAGGAGCUAGCCGUCUAAGGUGACAGAGUUGGU
rnacentral:rRNA from 1 species